AUCAGUCUGAGGCACAAUUAUUGCCAAAUAGUUCUGUCAUCUGAGUCUCAAGGCUGCCCGGUUUCGUUUCAAACCCCACGCACUGACUUUCCAGAAAUUUUAAUUUAGUCAGCAUUUUGGCCCUAGUUUGGAGCCUCAAGUCAUUCCUUGAAGUGGUAAGUUGAAAACAAACCGCAUCACGUUAGGAAACACUCAGGAGAGCAGUGUGAUUAAUGUGGUUGGGUGACUAUGAGAUGCUUUGAACUGUGUGUGUGAACUUGUUUCCCUCAUCCCUUUUUCUCAUUUUUCAACCUUUUUUUUGUGUUUCAAGAGUAAGCAGAAGAUUUCUACCUCCCCCAGUGCUCCGAUGACUUGCCCCCAAAGGAUCUCACUGUUAAAUAAUAGUGAGCCCAUUCCCAUGCCUGUUACAGAGGGAGGCUCAACACACAUCCAUGAAGUUCCCAUUGGCCUUAUGGAAUUGGAGAAUAAGAGAAGUUAGAAACGUUAUGGGGUGUGACUCCCUUUUCCCUGACCCUGCAGGUGAGAAGGCUUCCCCAGACUUCACCCCUCCAGAGACUGGCAGCUGGGCUCCACAGUGAAUAGUGCUCUGAGGCCAAGGUGCAAGGUGAGUCCCCCAAAGCUCACUUGUCAUUAAGAAGGAAGUUUCCCCAGCAUGUGAUAGACAAGGUGCUCUUGUCUGUGAUCCUGGAGGCACUGUCCUCGAUACUCUGCAGGUUUGGGAACACAUGCGGUAGAAGCAAGGGGUUGCUUGUCCUCCAACAGAGGGUGUUUUGGAAAAUGGCUAAAGCUUCCUGCUCUGGUACAAUUGGCUUGAAACACUAAUCCUGGCAUUUGAAGAGAACAUCCCAUUCUCCACUUGCCUUGUUAUCCCAUUGUGCACAACGUGGAAAUGGCUUGGGUCGUUAUCAGGAACCUGUCAUGUCACCAUGUUCCAAGUUACCAGAGAAGGAACCAAGAGUUCUGUCUCUGAACCUCUCUCUCAUGUAGCAGUGUAUAACGUGUGGUUAGUCAGAAGUUAAUACGAUGAAACCAUGGGUAUCUUAGAGAUGGAGGUGAUCUUAUGGGAUAGUUCACUAUCAUCGGCCCAACCCACAUUUCUGGUAAAUGAUCUGCGCACUUUCAUCCUGCAUUUCCUGCUGGACAGUAGGGCCCAUCCUCUUUCCCUGGCCAGAGAUGGCCUUUCACGGCGUCCCUUUCUUUUCCCCAGCCCCAACUUCUGAUUUCAGAUGUGUCCAAUGGGAGGAAGGGUCCAAAGGGGUCUGGAUACAGUGCCGUCAGUGCUUCUCAGGUAAAAGUCCCGUAGAGGUUCAAAGGUGCUCCCAAGAGCUAGUGUCUUCUCUUACCCAGCAGUGUCCUGGGAUCCAGGCCCUUAAUUGUGUGGGUGAUGAGCUGCAGCGGUGCCUCUGCCUUGGUUACUUUCUGGGUGUCGUGAGGCCUAGAAGGAAGCAGACCAUAAUAUCCCAGGACAAGAUGGGUAUGUCCCGUUCGUAUUUGGGUGGGGGGCCCGUUUUCCCUUGUCACUGAGAUUUCCUCAGCUGUGGCUGAAGGAGGUGCCUUGUCUUUCUAAAGAGCAGCAGGAUUCUCAAUCCAGGGCAGGGUCUGAAGGAAGCUGACUAAACUGAACAUUUUGAUAAGGAAUGUGGGCUUUGGGGAGCUGAAGUGAACGAAGUCUCAGGAUAACCUCUCACUGUUUCUGGACAGUUGUGAAAAUGAAACAUCAGGAGGAGGUCAAAAACCUCCUGUCUGAACUUGGGAAUGUGACAAUGUCUCUCUUCCCAGAGUGGAACCUGCUCAUAGCUCAGGUGUUUGAGACCCUGGAAUACAGAACAAAAGGCAGACCAUGCUUGUCUCUGUGACACAGAUCUUCCCUCAGCUCAGAACCAUCACACCUUGGACAUGAACUUCCAGCUACUUCAGGGACCUCACCCUAUAAGUCACCAAACCCCAAGUAUCCCAGUGCCACGCAGAACCCAGAACGCAAUCCAGGAAAGCACAACUCACAGACCUCAAAUCUUUGGACACACAAUACCUCACACUUGACUGAACCUAGAUUGCUCAGCUCAGUGAAUGAGGCCAGGGACUCAGAAGAGCCCUGAGAUGUCCAGUUCUGAAAUAUAGACUCAACUGCAUGCCAACAACUUCAUAACUCACGACUUAAAAACCCAAAUAGCUCCCAGACCUCCCACCCUGGACAUACAAAUCCACAAAAGCUUGGAUCCCUACCCUGGUAUGCAGGCACAUGCACAUCUGAGAGGACUGGUACUGAAAACACAGAGACCUCAUGCAUGAGGGUAUGUGUAACCAACAUCUCAGAGAAGUCAGAGCCUGGUGCACAAAGCCCAAAGUUUGCAAACCAGGAAAUGGUCAACCCCUCAAAAUUGCAGCAACCUCAGUCCCUGGGAUACAGACUUAUGAUUGGGUCACAGAGGUCACAUUCAGGAUCCAGAAUCAAAAAAGAUCAGACACCCUUGUUUUGGAUAACAUCUAUGAUCUCAUGAGCAUAGGAUGAGGAAUGUCGGGUUGCAUCACAUUUUGCACAUCGCUACUCUGCAGAGCUCAAACCCUAAUUCUGGACAUGCAGAACAAAAACUGCAGAGAAUGUAUAUGGUAGACACAGCACCUAAAACAGAUCACACACCUCACACACCAGCACACACAUUUAUAAAAAACCCUGAGAUCCUUCACUCUGGACACAAGCCCCUCAGGGCUCAACAGAUCUCACAUCCUGCACAGACAUCCUGAAACGACUCAGACAACUGACAACCUAUAAUGGGCCAGGGACCUCCCAGUCUGGACGCGGACCUUGAAACAACUCAGAGUUGUGUUAGAUGGCCUUAGAAACCUACAAGUUCACCCCUUCUAGGAUCCAUGCCAGAUAGGGCCACAGCCAGGUUUCUCCCAGUCUCCUGAGUGAGACACAGGGGUGGAAUGAAAGAGAAAGGAGGGCCAGGCAUGGUGGUGCAUGCCUGUAAUCCCAGCAGUUUGGGAGGCAGAGACAGGAGUUUUGUGAGUCCAAAGCCAGCCUCAGCAAUUUUCAAGACACUAUGCAACUCAGUUCAGCCCUCACUGUAAAUAAAAUACAAAAAUUGGGCUGAGGCUGUGGAUUAGUGGUUGAGUGCCCCUGAGUUGAAUCCCUACUACCGAGAGAGAAAUAGAGAAGAAUGAGAAUGAACCCCUACAUCUGGGCCCUGGUCCAAGCACCUGAGUAUCCUUUUCCAGGGGAUGAAGACCCAGGUUCUGCCCUCAGAGGCUGCUUCUGGGCAGUGAUUCACAUAUACCGAGGCCUGAUGCACCCUGGAGUCCUGUGCCUGCCAGAUUGGGGAUAUGUUCUAGGUUAAGAUGUCUUGUGCCAUCCUGGAAAUGAACCCUCAUUGCCCUCAGGCUUGAGAUGCCCUUAUGCCACAGAAUCACUCUUUGGGUAAGGAGAGGCUGAGUGUGUCCCUGUGAACGAACCACAAUGGUCUUCUAGUGGUCAUAGCAGAGCUGAUGCUUCAGGGAACCCGCCUCCAGCUCAACAAUGGACCUCCUGCCCAGCAUCCUGUUCACCCUGAAUGGUGCCCUUCUGACUCUUGAGCAUGUGGAUCCAGGAGCCCCCUGAUUUCCUCUGCCCUCCUCAACCCUGAACAGAUGGCCCUCUGCAGAUCUUUUGAGCAUGAAUGACUCAAGAUUAAAAGGGGAGAUGGUGAAAGUGUUUGCCGCAGAGUGCCAGGGCUAUAUGACACAGACCGUACAACCCCGCCCCCUCAUCAACCCCUCACUCCCAGUCCUUUCUGUCCUCCUCUGAGUAUGCUUGUCCCCUCCUCCCAAUUCAUAAAUCAGGUAUAAAGGGAAUGGGGUGUGAGGGUCUCUGUACUUACACAUAGCUUGGUGUAAGUUGACAGAGCAGAUAUAUUCCCGCACAUAGACCAUGAGAGCAACCCUGGUGUAGGACUGUUUAUUCAUGGGCAGUCACAGCUGGGAGGCUGUGCUGUUUUGGGACUGAGGCUGAUGUGGCCUUGCUAGUGGGCCUCAUCUUCUUUGGAGACACACACUGGCUCAUAUCUGAUCCCCUGGUGGAUCUCCACUCCCUGAGGACUCAGUCUCAUACCUGCAGUGUUUCUGGAGAUGUUUCAACAAAGUCAGGGCUUAAUUGAUGCCUGGUGAUAAAUUUGUUCCCUUAAGAAUCCACCUAAGCCCUAAUUACCAAGAUGCUCUCAACAUCUCUGCUGCCUAAUGCCUAAAAACACAUCAUUUGAGCAUUUACUUCUUUUUAUGGAUCAGGUUGCCGUCUCCCUGGAGGAAUCAGGACUGGUUCUGGAGGAACCCAAUCCUCUUUGAACUGCACCCAUGGGUAUUCUGGGGAACAUAUUUCUGACUGUGAAUGGUUUUCUUGGUGUGUCUGUAAACUGAUAUUGGGCUUUCAGAUCAAUAUAAUGGGAUCCAAUCAGCAUUUAUCAAUGAGCCAGUGAUCUUACUGACCUGGUAAUACCUUAAGCCUUUUGUACAGGUGAGUCGACUGAGGUUCCAGGGCAGGAUCCUGAACUCUCCCAAUCCACCUCCACUUUGCUAUUUGAAGCCCCACCUUUGGGGCUGUAUGUUUCCAAACUAGGACAAUACCCCUGACACCCAGACCAUGCAUGUUCUCUAACCUGGAAGGUCCUGAAUGGGCAAUCACAUUAACCACAUAGAUUUUAGUGUCAUCCUUAAUUUCUGCCCUGCUGCUCCACCCUGGGACCAUUCACUUAUCUCUUCACCCUUGUUCCUGGCUGCACUAGGGCUAGAUCUGUAGAGCCAAGUAGCUGGGCCCAUAAAUGGAAUGAUGGUGACCUGAGAGGCUGCAGAGGCCUCACCCUGACUGGAUGUGUGGAGGUUCCUGCUUGGUGGGGAGCCCAAUACACAUGACACAGAAUGGUUUAUUUUAAAAUACAGGGCUCCCUUCCCCAGUGGUGUUUCCCAAAGUGUACUGCUUCAUCUGGGCCACUAAAGUGGUACAUUUCAGUGCAGGGAGGUUUCAUCCAGCCUGUUCCUUCUCAGUGUCCCCAGUGUCUGUGAUUCUCCCAGAAGGGGCUGUUUCAACCUAUUUCUUUUAAAAGUUGUUUUUAUUGGUGCAUUAUCAUUAUACAUAAUAGUGGGGUUCCUUUGACCUAGUCAUACGUGCGUGGAAUAUAAGUUGCUCCAUUUCAGUCCCUGGUGCUAAUUUUAGGCUGUUUCUAAUGAGUCUUUUCAUCUCUAUCCCUCACCCCACCCCGGACAGUACAUCCAAUGGGUGUUGCCUUUGUGACCCUGACACUGCUCAGUGGACGAUUCCAUUCCCAUCUCACUUCUCCUAAUAUUGUCUAAUGGGCCACGCCAGUUGCAUAUUCCUGUUCUUGUAGAGUGCCUAGUGUAGAGUCCAGCCUCCUAGCUGGAGCCCCUGCCCCGGGAGUGGUACUUAGGAUGUCACGAAUGGGACAUUCCUUCCCCUCCCCACUGACAGAACUGUGAAUCAACAAGACAGCUGCAGGUCUCUGUGUCUGCAUCGAUCAUUAAAUUCUACCACCUCCCCCUCAGUGGAGGGAGACUGUUGUUCACUAUAUUCUUUGCUUUCUCCCCAGCACCUAGAACAGUGUCAGGCACAGAAUAGGCCCUCCAUUGAUGUUGGUAAGGAAAGCAUCCUUUGACCUGGCAAUUCCAUGGCCAACGGUAUGUCCUGGGAAUGCAUAGUUUGUCCUGAUCACAGUGCCUUUCUCCAUGGCGUGGUAUUAAUGGAGAGUAGCAAGAAGGAGAUGCUCAUACCUACCCAGUGAGUGUGUUUUCAUGCACGUGCAAAUGUGUGUGUGUGUGUGUGUGUUUGUUAACGUGUAUAUGUGCACACUUGGGGGCAUGUGUGUGUGCAUGCAUGUAUGUACACAGAUCUCACAUGCAUGGACUAGAAAACUUACAAUUAGUGUCAAUUAUACUCCCCAAGGAGAUCUUAUGACUCGUUGCAAUCCCUAUCAAAAUUCUAAUUACUUAUCUCCCUAAAUUAACAAAAUGGUGCUAUAAUUCUAAUGAAAUGAAAGUCUCCUGCAAAGAGGAUGUAGAGAAAAAGGAACACUUUUACACUGUUGGUGGGAUUGUAAAUUAGUGCGACUACUAUGGAAAUCACAGUGGCGGGCCCUGAAAAGACUAGGCAUGGAAAUCCCGUAUGACCCAAGUAUAUCCCUCCUUGGUAUUUUUCCUGAAUUAAAAUCAUACUACAGUGGUAUGUGCAUACCCAUGUUUAUAGCAGCACAACUCACAAUAACCAAACUAUUGAACUAGCCUAGUUGUCCAAUGGUUGAAUGGGUAAAGAAAAUGUGGUAUGUGUACUCAGUGGAGUUAAUUAUUAAGCCAUAAAGAAAAGUGAAAGUAUGUCAUUUGCAGGAAAAUGGAUGGAACUAGAGACAUUAUGUUUAGCAAAGUAAGUCAAACUCCAACCAUAAAAGGAGCUAUGUUUUCUCUUAUAUGCGGAAGCUAGAGAGGAAAAAGGAAAAGAAAGGUGGAAAUGAAAGUUUGGUCUGUACAGGAAAGGCACCAAGGAGUGGGAGGUGGGGAUGGAAGGAGGGAGUGCUUGGGGAGUGAUAUUGGCCAAAGUAUAUUGUUGUGUGCAUGUACGAGUAUGUACCAUCAAAUACCACCAUUAUGUACAAUUCUAAAGCCCUAAUAAAAAUGUAGGGGAAAAAGGCUUCCACAAUAGCCAAAACAGUCUUGAAACACAACAAAGUUGCAAGAUUCACCCUCCCUGAUUUGAAAACCUACUAUAGAUUUACUGCAUUCAAGACAGUGUGGUACUGACAUAAUUUUAGAUAGUGGCAUAAAAUGGAGUUUUCUGAAAGCCGUAUUUCUGUGGUCAACUUAUUGUUGUCAAGGAUGAAAAGUCUUUUCAGUGGAUUGUCCUGGCAUAACCUGGAUGUCCAUACACAAAGGAAUGAAUUUAGACCUGUAUGUCACACUGUCUACAAUUAAAAUGAAUUACAGACCUAAAUGUAAGACUUUAAAAUUAUCGGAAGAAAACAGAGACAUAAGUCUUCAAAAACCUUGGUUUGGGCAACAAUUUACUAGAUGUGACAUGGAUGCACAAACAACCCAAGGCAAAAUAGAUAAUGUGGCAUCACCAAAAUUUGAACUUUUAUACUUCAAAGAAUACCAUCAAGAAAGUGAAACGUCAACCCAAAAUAUAAGAAAAAAGUUUUGCAAAUCAUAUGUGAUAAAGAACUUCUACCUAUAAAACACACUCACUCACCUCUCAACUCAAUAGAAAAGAAAACCCAAUUANGAGCAUGUGGAUCCAGGAGCCCCCUGAUUUCCUCUGCCCUCCUCAACCCUGAACAGAUGGCCCUCUGCAGAUCUUUUGAGCAUGAAUGACUCAAGAUUAAAAGGGGAGAUGGUGAAAGUGUUUGCCGCAGAGUGCCAGGGCUAUAUGACACAGACCGUACAACCCCGCCCCCUCAUCAACCCCUCACUCCCAGUCCUUUCUGUCCUCCUCUGAGUAUGCUUGUCCCCUCCUCCCAAUUCAUAAAUCAGGUAUAAAGGGAAUGGGGUGUGAGGGUCUCUGUACUUACACAUAGCUUGGUGUAAGUUGACAGAGCAGAUAUAUUCCCGCACAUAGACCAUGAGAGCAACCCUGGUGUAGGACUGUUUAUUCAUGGGCAGUCACAGCUGGGAGGCUGUGCUGUUUUGGGACUGAGGCUGAUGUGGCCUUGCUAGUGGGCCUCAUCUUCUUUGGAGACACACACUGGCUCAUAUCUGAUCCCCUGGUGGAUCUCCACUCCCUGAGGACUCAGUCUCAUACCUGCAGUGUUUCUGGAGAUGUUUCAACAAAGUCAGGGCUUAAUUGAUGCCUGGUGAUAAAUUUGUUCCCUUAAGAAUCCACCUAAGCCCUAAUUACCAAGAUGCUCUCAACAUCUCUGCUGCCUAAUGCCUAAAAACACAUCAUUUGAGCAUUUACUUCUUUUUAUGGAUCAGGUUGCCGUCUCCCUGGAGGAAUCAGGACUGGUUCUGGAGGAACCCAAUCCUCUUUGAACUGCACCCAUGGGUAUUCUGGGGAACAUAUUUCUGACUGUGAAUGGUUUUCUUGGUGUGUCUGUAAACUGAUAUUGGGCUUUCAGAUCAAUAUAAUGGGAUCCAAUCAGCAUUUAUCAAUGAGCCAGUGAUCUUACUGACCUGGUAAUACCUUAAGCCUUUUGUACAGGUGAGUCGACUGAGGUUCCAGGGCAGGAUCCUGAACUCUCCCAAUCCACCUCCACUUUGCUAUUUGAAGCCCCACCUUUGGGGCUGUAUGUUUCCAAACUAGGACAAUACCCCUGACACCCAGACCAUGCAUGUUCUCUAACCUGGAAGGUCCUGAAUGGGCAAUCACAUUAACCACAUAGAUUUUAGUGUCAUCCUUAAUUUCUGCCCUGCUGCUCCACCCUGGGACCAUUCACUUAUCUCUUCACCCUUGUUCCUGGCUGCACUAGGGCUAGAUCUGUAGAGCCAAGUAGCUGGGCCCAUAAAUGGAAUGAUGGUGACCUGAGAGGCUGCAGAGGCCUCACCCUGACUGGAUGUGUGGAGGUUCCUGCUUGGUGGGGAGCCCAAUACACAUGACACAGAAUGGUUUAUUUUAAAAUACAGGGCUCCCUUCCCCAGUGGUGUUUCCCAAAGUGUACUGCUUCAUCUGGGCCACUAAAGUGGUACAUUUCAGUGCAGGGAGGUUUCAUCCAGCCUGUUCCUUCUCAGUGUCCCCAGUGUCUGUGAUUCUCCCAGAAGGGGCUGUUUCAACCUAUUUCUUUUAAAAAUUGUUUUUAUUGGUGCAUUAUCAUUAUACAUAAUAGUGGGGUUCCUUUGACCUAGUCAUACGUGCGUGGAAUAUAAGUUGCUCCAUUUCAGUCCCUGGUGCUAAUUUUAGGCUGUUUCUAAUGAGUCUUUUCAUCUCUAUCCCUCACCCCACCCCGGACAGUACAUCCAAUGGGUGUUGCCUUUGUGACCCUGACACUGCUCAGUGGACGAUUCCAUUCCCAUCUCACUUCUCCUAAUAUUGUCUAAUGGGCCACGCCAGUUGCAUAUUCCUGUUCUUGUAGAGUGCCUAGUGUAGAGUCCAGCCUCCUAGCUGGAGCCCCUGCCCCGGGAGUGGUACUUAGGAUGUCACGAAUGGGACAUUCCUUCCCCUCCCCACUGACAGAACUGUGAAUCAACAAGACAGCUGCAGGUCUCUGUGUCUGCAUCGAUCAUUAAAUUCUACCACCUCCCCCUCAGUGGAGGGAGACUGUUGUUCACUAUAUUCUUUGCUUUCUCCCCAGCACCUAGAACAGUGUCAGGCACAGAAUAGGCCCUCCAUUGAUGUUGGUAAGGAAAGCAUCCUUUGACCUGGCAAUUCCAUGGCCAACGGUAUGUCCUGGGAAUGCAUAGUUUGUCCUGAUCACAGUGCCUUUCUCCAUGGCGUGGUAUUAAUGGAGAGUAGCAAGAAGGAGAUGCUCAUACCUACCCAGUGAGUGUGUUUUCAUGCACGUGCAAAUGUGUGUGUGUGUGUGUGUGUUUGUUAACGUGUAUAUGUGCACACUUGGGGGCAUGUGUGUGUGCAUGCAUGUAUGUACACAGAUCUCACAUGCAUGGACUAGAAAACUUACAAUUAGUGUCAAUUAUACUCCCCAAGGAGAUCUUAUGACUCGUUGCAAUCCCUAUCAAAAUUCUAAUUACUUAUCUCCCUAAAUUAACAAAAUGGUGCUAUAAUUCUAAUGAAAUGAAAGUCUCCUGCAAAGAGGAUGUAGAGAAAAAGGAACACUUUUACACUGUUGGUGGGAUUGUAAAUUAGUGCGACUACUAUGGAAAUCACAGUGGCGGGCCCUGAAAAGACUAGGCAUGGAAAUCCCGUAUGACCCAAGUAUAUCCCUCCUUGGUAUUUUUCCUGAAUUAAAAUCAUACUACAGUGGUAUGUGCAUACCCAUGUUUAUAGCAGCACAACUCACAAUAACCAAACUAUUGAACUAGCCUAGUUGUCCAAUGGUUGAAUGGGUAAAGAAAAUGUGGUAUGUGUACUCAGUGGAGUUAAUUAUUAAGCCAUAAAGAAAAGUGAAAGUAUGUCAUUUGCAGGAAAAUGGAUGGAACUAGAGACAUUAUGUUUAGCAAAGUAAGUCAAACUCCAACCAUAAAAGGAGCUAUGUUUUCUCUUAUAUGCGGAAGCUAGAGAGGAAAAAGGAAAAGAAAGGUGGAAAUGAAAGUUUGGUCUGUACAGGAAAGGCACCAAGGAGUGGGAGGUGGGGAUGGAAGGAGGGAGUGCUUGGGGAGUGAUAUUGGCCAAAGUAUAUUGUUGUGUGCAUGUACGAGUAUGUACCAUCAAAUACCACCAUUAUGUACAAUUCUAAAGCCCUAAUAAAAAUGUAGGGGAAAAAGGCUUCCACAAUAGCCAAAACAGUCUUGAAACACAACAAAGUUGCAAGAUUCACCCUCCCUGAUUUGAAAACCUACUAUAGAUUUACUGCAUUCAAGACAGUGUGGUACUGACAUAAUUUUAGAUAGUGGCAUAAAAUGGAGUUUUCUGAAAGCCGUAUUUCUGUGGUCAACUUAUUGUUGUCAAGGAUGAAAAGUCUUUUCAGUGGAUUGUCCUGGCAUAACCUGGAUGUCCAUACACAAAGGAAUGAAUUUAGACCUGUAUGUCACACUGUCUACAAUUAAAAUGAAUUACAGACCUAAAUGUAAGACUUUAAAAUUAUCGGAAGAAAACAGAGACAUAAGUCUUCAAAAACCUUGGUUUGGGCAACAAUUUACUAGAUGUGACAUGGAUGCACAAACAACCCAAGGCAAAAUAGAUAAUGUGGCAUCACCAAAAUUUGAACUUUUAUACUUCAAAGAAUACCAUCAAGAAAGUGAAACGUCAACCCAAAAUAUAAGAAAAAAGUUUUGCAAAUCAUAUGUGAUAAAGAACUUCUACCUAUAAAACACACUCACUCACCUCUCAACUCAAUAGAAAAGAAAACCCAAUUAGAAGAUGGGCAAGGAAUCUAAAUACAGUUUGUCCAGAGAAGAUAUCCAAAUGGCUGAUAAGCACAUGAAAAGGAGCUCCAUAUCAUUAGCUUCAGGGAAAUGUGUCUAUGAGUCAGUCAUGUUGAGAUAGCACUUUAUACCUGCUAGGAUGUUUUCCAAAAAACAUGUUGGUUAAGUAUGUGAAGAAAGUGAAACCCUCAUAAGAUGCUGGUUGGAAUGUAAAAUGAUGCAGUCACUUUGGAAACAGUUCCACGAAAUUAAAUACAGAGCAUCAUGUGGCCCAGAAUUCCACUUCUUGGUACAUAUCCCCCCAAAAUGAAAACUUAUGUCCCCACAAAAACUUGUGUAUGCAUGUUCAAGAAUUAUGUUUAAUUUUCAAAAGGGUAAAUAAUAGAAAUCCCAUUGGACUGACAAAUUGAAAAAUAAAUGUAUAUCCAUAUGGAAUCCCACUAAACAUCAAUAAAAAGAAAUCAUGGAUGAAACUUGGAGACCUUUUGGGAAUUCAAGCCAUUUAGAAAGAUACCACCUGUUGUAUAAUACCAUUUUUUUGUGUAAAGUUUAAAAUAUGCAAAUUUAUUUAUUUAAUUUUGGGGGAAUAAAACCUAGGGUGCCUAAAAACUGAGUCACAUCCGUAGCAUGUUUUGUUUUAAUGCUUUUUAAGAUAAAAAGUCAUAGUUGGGUACAAUAACUUUCUUUUAUUUUCAUGUGGUGAUGAGACUCAAACCAAGUGCCUCACAUGUGCUAGGCAAGCACUCUACUACUGAGCUACAACCACAUCCUCACCUUUUGAGAGAGCGACUCAUUUGCUGUGGGACUUGGUAAGUUGCUGAGGCUGCCUUUGAACUUUUGAUCAUCCUGCCUCAGCCUCCCAUGUUGCUACGAUUAUAGGUAUGUGUCACCUUGUCCAAUUUCCAGAAGAGGAAAAUUUAUAUAGACAGAAAUUAGAUUGGUUAUUCUCUACAGAUGGGGAUUGGGGAAAAAAGGAGGAAAUAAGAAAGGACUGCUAAUUUGUUUGGGAUUUUUCUGGGGAUGAUUAGAGUGUUCUUCAGUUGUGGUGUUGGUUUUACAAUUUUGUGAAUACACUAAAUAUCAUUGAAUUGUUAAUGUUAAAUGGUCAGUUGUAGGUUGUGUGAAUUGUAUUCCAAUAAAGCUGUUACAAAAAGUGAUGUAAGUGAAUGAUUCUUAUGAUUAUCUGUAAAUGACUGAGUUGUGAAAAUGCUGUCAUGUCAUGCUGUCAUGUCAUGCUGUUAGAUAAUAAAGGAAAUUGAGCCAAAGUUCUAUCCCUGCAGUGAUUCAUGGCUCAGAACCAAUUUGUCUAAUACUUGGUACAUAUAUG
rnacentral:lncRNA from 1 species